GUCGAACGGUAACAGGUCUUCGGAUGCUGACGAGUGGCGAACGGGUGAGUAAUACAUCGGAACGUGCCCGAUCGUGGGGGAUAACGGAGCGAAAGCUUUGCUAAUACCGCAUACGAUCUACGGAUGAAAGCAGGGGACCGCAAGGCCUUGCGCGGACGGAGCGGCCGAUGGCAGAUUAGGUAGUUGGUGGGAUAAAAGCUUACCAAGCCGACGAUCUGUAGCUGGUCUGAGAGGACGACCAGCCACACUGGGACUGAGACACGGCCCAGACUCCUACGGGAGGCAGCAGUGGGGAAUUUUGGACAAUGGGCGAAAGCCUGAUCCAGCCAUGCCGCGUGCAGGAUGAAGGCCUUCGGGUUGUAAACUGCUUUUGUACGGAACGAAAAGACUCUUUCUAAUAAAGAGGGUCCAUGACGGUACCGUAAGAAUAAGCACCGGCUAACUACGUGCCAGCAGCCGCGGUAAUACGUAGGGUGCAAGCGUUAAUCGGAAUUACUGGGCGUAAAGCGUGCGCAGGCGGUUAUGUAAGACAGAUGUGAAAUCCCCGGGCUCAACCUGGGAACUGCAUUUGUGACUGCAUAGCUAGAGUACGGUAGAGGGGGAUGGAAUUCCGCGUGUAGCAGUGAAAUGCGUAGAUAUGCGGAGGAACACCGAUGGCGA
rnacentral:rRNA from 1 species